rnacentral:rRNA from 1 species
AACGAACGCUGGCGGCAGGCCUAACACAUGCAAGUCGAGCGAGGACUUCGGUUCUAGCGGCGGACGGGUGAGUAACGCGUGGGAAUGUGCCCUUCUCUACGGAAUAGCCCUGGGAAACUGGGAGUAAUACCGUAUACGCCCUUUUGGGGAAAGAUUUAUCGGAGAAGGAUCAGCCCGCGUUGGAUUAGGUAGUUGGUGGGGUAAUGGCCUACCAAGCCGACGAUCCAUAGCUGGUUUGAGAGGAUGAUCAGCCACACUGGGACUGAGACACGGCCCAGACCCCUCAGGGAGGCAGAGGUGGGGAAUUUUAAACAGUGGGGGCAACCCUGAUCUGCCCAUGCCGGGUGAGUGAUGAAGGCCUUAGGGUUGUAAAGCUCUUUCCGCUGGGAAGAAAAUGACGGUACCAGCAAAAAAACCCCCGGCUAACUCCGU